rnacentral:lncRNA from 1 species
AUAUGCAUAUCAAGUUAUGAAUAAAAAUUCAUAAUGAAAUUGAAUUUAGGCCAACAAUUUACGGUUAUCAAGGGACAUAUAUUCAAUUUUUGCAUCUAAGAUCACUCGGCACAAAAUCAUUAUCCCAAUUUACCAUUACAAAAAGCAUAGUAUACUCGUUGCAUCAAGGGUCGUCUCCACUUACAUUUCAAGUUAUGAAUAAGCAUUCACAUUGAAAUUGCAUUCAUUCAAACCUUCAAUCUAGGAACAUCGAGAGACAUAUAUUCAAGUUAGGGACAUCGAGGGACAUAUGUUCAAUUUAGGAACAUCGAGGGAGAUGUAUUCCAUUUAGGGACAUGGAUGGACAUAUAUACUAUUUCGCAUCUAUAGUACCAAGUGUCAUCUUCACUUACAUUUGAAAGUUAUGAAUAAGCAUUGACAUUCAAGUUCCAUUCAGACCAUCAAUUUAGGGUCAUUGAGUGACAUAUACUCCAUUUCGCGUCAAAAUUACCAAGGCACACAACCUUCUUCGCAUCAAAGUUUCAGCUUGCAUUUAGACUAUCAAAUAUUUCAUGUAUACCAUCCUGAUUCCAUAUGAAUAUAAAAUUUAUAUUGUAAGCAGCAUAUUUGGCAAGAAAAAAUCAUCUUAUUGGGUUAUCCAAACACAGCAGCCCAAGACUUGUCUUAAGAAUUCUUUAAGCAACUACGCAAUUUCUUAAGGCCCAAAUUAACCUUCUUAGACAUGAAAAUUAAGAUUCACUUAUUAGCACACUCUUGGAUAAUCAAUGCAUACAAAAACUACCCAAAACAACAUUUGUGUCAAACAAUAUUUCGGAGAAUUUGUGUUACUUCACGAAAGACAAAAUUGAGUCAAAUAAAUUAGAAAACAUUCUAAAAGAUAAAGGAUAAAAAAUUAAAAACAAAGACGUCGAAGUGAUAAAAAUCACAAGAAAUCAAAUUGAUAAAAGCAACGCUACUAAAUCUGAACGGAUUUACAGAGAGUCAUAGGAGGUCCAAUCAAGAAUCUUAAUUUUUUUUUCUUCCAUUCUACCUACAUUAAUAGCCAAUAAUUUAGAGGUUGUAAAACUCAAAUAUUGAAUUUUGCAUUAACAGUCAUCAAGUAACAUACAUAUACUCAAUUUCACAUCUAAGGUAACAAAAAGCACACUACCAUCCAUCAUUCCAACUUACCAAUAUUGAAAAAGCAUCAGAGUCACAGUAUCAUGGGUCGUCUCGAUAUACAUAUGAAGUUAUGAAUAAAAAUUCAAAAUGAAAUUGAAUUUAAGCCAACAAUUUACUGUUAUGAAGGGACAUAUAUACAAUUUUUGCAUCUAAGAUCACUUAGCACAAAAUCAUCAUCUCAAUUUACCAUUAGCAAAAGCAUAAUAUAGUCAUUGCAUCAAGGGUCAGCUCCACUUACAUUUCAAGUUAUGACUAAGCAUUCACAUUGAAACUGCAUUCACCUAAACCUUCAAUUUAGGGACAUCAAGGGAUCUAUAUUCAAUUUAGGAACAUCGAGUGACAUAUGUACUAUUUCCAUCUAUGGUGCCACAGGUCAUCUCCACUUACAUUUAAAGUUAUGAAUAAGCAUUCACAUUUAAAUUCCACUAAAGCCGUCAAUUUAGGGACAUCGAGGGACAUAUAUACAAUUUAGAGACAUCGAGGGACAUUUACUCAAUAUAGGGAUAUCAGGGGACAUAAACCCAAUUUCAAAUCAAAUGAAUUUGAAGUGAUGUUGCAUUCACGUUUAAAUUCCAAUAAGCCGUCAGUUUAGGGACAUUGAGGACAUAUUCUCAAUUUAGGGACAUUGAGGGACAUUUACUAUAUAUAGGGACAUCGAGGGACAUAAACUCAAUUUCACAUCAAAGACAUUUGAAGUUAUGAAUAAGCAUUCACAUUUAAAUUCCAUUAAAGCUGUCAAUUUAGGGACAUUGAAGGACAUAUUCUCAAUUUAGGGACAUCGAGGGACAUUUACUCAGUAUAGGGACAUUGAGGAACAUAAACUCAAUUUCACAUCAAAGGCAUUUGAAGUGAUGAAUAAGCAUUCACAUUUAAAUUCCAUUAAAACCGUCAGUGUAGGGACAUUGAGGGACAUAUUCUCAAUUUAGGGACAUUGAGGAACAUAUUCUCAAUUUAGGGACAUCGAGGGACAUUUACUCAAUAUAGGGCAUCGAGGGACAUUUACUCAAUAUAUGGACAUCGAGGGACAUAAACCCAAUUUCACAUCAAAGGCACAUUUGAAUUGAUGAAUAACCAUUCAUAUUUAAAUUCCAUUAAAGCCGUCAGUUUAGGGACAUAUACUCAAUUUAGGGACAUAUAUACAAUUUAGAUAUAUCCAGGGACAUUUACUCAAUAUAGGGACAUAAACCCAUUUUCACAUCAAAGGCACAUUUGAAGUGAUGAAUAAGCUUCACAUUUAUAUUCCAUUAAAUCCGUCAGUUUAGGAACAUUGAGAGACAUUUUUUCAAUUUAGGGACAUCGAGGGACAUAUAUACAAGACAUCGAGGGACAUUUACUCAAUAUAGGGACAUCGAGGGACAAAAACUCAAUUUCACAUCAAAGGCACAUUUGAAGCGAUGAAUAAGCAUUCACAUUUAAAUUCCAUUAAAGCCAUCAGUUUAGGGACAUUACAGUUUAAAGACAUCGAGGGACAUUUACUCAAUAUAGAGACAUCUGAGGGACAUAAACCCAAUUUCACAUCAAAGGCACAUUUGAAGUGAUGAAUAAGCAUUCACAUUUAAAUUCCAUUAAAGCCGUCAGUUUAGGGACAUUGAGGGACAUAUUCUCAACUUAGGGACAUUGAGGGACAUUUACUCAAUAUAGGGACAUCAAGGGACAAAAACUCAAUUUCACAUCAUCGAGGGACAUUUACUCAAUAUAGGGACAUCGAGAGACAUAAACCCAUUUCACAUCAAAGGCACAUUUGAAAUGAUGAAUAAGCAUUCACAUUUAAAUUCCAUUAAAGCCGUCAGUUUAGGGACAUUGAGGGACAUAUUCUCAAUUUAAGAACAUCGAGGGACAUAUAUACAAUUUAGAGACAACGAGGGACAUUUACUCAAUAUAGAGACAUCUGAGGGACAUAAACCCAAUUUCACAUCAAAGGCACAUUUGAAGUGAUGAAUAAGCAUACACAUUUAAAUUCCAUUAAAGCCGCUAGUUUAGGGACAUUGAGAGACAUAUUCUCAAUUUAGGGACAUCACAGAAAAUAGUGGUUUGUUCAAAUUUGCUACACACAGUGUUAUAGCACUAAUACUGCUAUUGCGUCUAUCACUCUAUCUGACAACAUUUUGUACUAAAAGUUAAAAGUUAGCGAUUUGUUUAGAUACCACUGCAAAAUCAAUGAUUGAUGAGAAUGCUUUGAUGGAAAGAACUAAAUACCUUGCAACCAAGAGAAGAGAACUGAACCGAAAAGAAUCAAGAAGGCUCCUUUCACAAACUUCACAAGUGUUUGUGACAACUUUUCCUGGCCUAGCUAGGUUGAGGUCUUUCAUUCAAGAACACAACUCUUGCACUAUUGAUAAUGUAUGUUUAAACAUCAGUUAUGUCCAACACUUGAAUCUCAUUCACCCUAAUCACAUCAUGGUAUGAAGACCUCCGAAUCUGUUCAAAAUAACACACAAAACACAAACUUUAGCACACAUUAAACAACAUUUGUUAAUGGUUAAACUAAACAUUGAAAAAAUAGCUUAAAAUCAGCAUUAAUUUUUUUUUACAAACAUUGAAAAAUAACUUUUUUUUAAUAAAUUCGUCAAAAAAAAAAACUUUUUUUUAACCAAAACAUUGAAAAAUAACUUAAAAUCAGAAAAAGGUGUGAUUUUUAAGAACCCAUUAUGGACAAGACUUAGAUCUCAGCACAGAAAACAAAGCUGAAACUUAAAACUGAUAUUAGUCUAAAACAAGAACAAAUCUAGCCCAGGAACCAAAAUGUGUCAGAUUCUGAAUUUGUGAAAGCCUUUAAAGUUUAAACAAAUUCACAAAAUGAAGCAAUAAGAAUGAAUCAAACCUGAAUAAAACGGCGAUCUUUGUGCUAAGCAAGACAAAGAGGACCAUUCAAAUUGAGAAUGAAGCGAAUGCAUACUCCUUAGCAAGGUCGUCGUUUAAUGGUUAAUUAGAAUUCUUUUCCAUUUCUACAUAUCUCUUUCAAAUUGAAUCAAGGUUGUUAGGGUUCAGAAACAUGAAACCCUAAAAUAACAUAAUGAAUUGUUCAAGAGAAAUAAAGAUUAACGAAAGAACGAAUCAGUUUCGCAAACAGAGAAGAAAUUGGGUCGAACGAAGAUUCGCGACAACGAGACAUUGAAUGAAUCGAUGAUGAAUUAGAAUGAGUUUGAAUUCAGAGUAAGAAAGAUUGAAAACGGU